CCUACGGGAGGCAGCAGUGGGGAAUAUUGGACAAUGGGCGAAAGCCUGAUCCAGCCAUGCCGCGUGUGUGAAGAAGGCCUUCGGGUUGUAAAGCACUUUCAGUGGGGAAGAAAGCCUUGGGGCUAAUACCCUCGAGGAAGGACAUCACCCACAGAAGAAGCACCGGCUAACUCCGUGCCAGCAGCCGCGGUAAUACGGAGGGUGCGAGCGUUAAUCGGAAUUACUGGGCGUAAAGCGCGCGUAGGCGGUCUGAUAAGCCGGUUGUGAAAGCCCCGGGCUCAACCUGGGAACGGCAUCCGGAACUGUCAGGCUAGAGUGCAGCAGAGGAAGGUAGAAUUCCCGGUGUAGCGGUGAAAUGCGUAGAGAUCGGGAGGAAUACCAGUGGCGAAGGCGGCCUUCUGGACUGACACUGACGCUGAGGUGCGAAAGCGUGGGUAGCAAACAGGAUUAGAUACCCCAGUAGUC
rnacentral:rRNA from 1 species